rnacentral:rRNA from 1 species
ACCUGCCCAAUGAGGAUUUAAAUGGCCGCAGUAUUUUGACUGUGCAAAGGUAGCAUAAUUAUUAGUUUUUUAAUUGAAAGCUUGUAUGAAGGGUUGGACGAGAUAAAAUCUGUCUUUAUUUAAAUUAAAGUAUAAUUUAACUUUUAAGUCAAAAGGCUUAAAUAUUUAUAAAAGACGAGAAGACCCUAUAGAUCUUUAUUUAAUUAAGAUUUUAAUAAUUUAGGGUUAUUUUAAUUUGGAGUUUUAAUUAAAUUUUAUUGGGGUAAUAUAAAGAUUAAAUAAAUUCUUUUUGUUUAUAACAUUAAUUUAUGAAUAUAUGAUCCAUUAAUAUUGAUUAUAAGAUUAAGUUACCUUAGGGAUAACAGCGUAAUUUUUUUGGAGAGCUCAUAUCGAUAAGAAAGUUUGCGACCUCGAUGUUGGAUUAAAAAUUAGCUUGGGUGUAGAAGCUCAAGAUUUUGGUCUGUUCGACCAUUAAAUUUUUACAUGAUCUGAGUUCAGACCGGCGUAAGCCAGGUCGGUUUCUAUCUUUAUUUAGAUAAAAUAUUUUAGUACGAAAGGACCAAGUAUUUAAUAUAAUUAUAUUUAUUUUUUGAAGAAUAUU